GUCAGAUGUAUAGAUAUUGGAGCAAUGGAUGCAAAACAAAUGAAAGGAAUCAAUUUUAAACUUUUGAGUGUAAGUAAUUUCCAAGGUACUAAAUGGCAUUUCAGAGAGAAUCUUUGUCAAGGCUCUGAUAAGAUGCCAAGUGGGUUAUAAGCUGAAUCCAUGAACAAUAACACUUUUGGAGAAUGUGCUUGUGAGCAUGGGUUG